rnacentral:lncRNA from 1 species
AUAAUAUAUCAUGUUACAAGUUUGAUGAGCAUAAAAUAGAGUUGGUGAAGUUAUAUAUGAGGAAAACAAUCAAAUUUGGGAUUUGGUUCUUGUAACUCCUAAGAAAAAUGCUUUUAAAAUUGAUUGUAAUGUUGUAUAUGGUUAUUGCAAGCUUUUUUAUUCCAUGAGAGCAUUGAGACAGGCUUGAAUAUUUGUUUAUGAGCCUCCAAAAAUAUUGAUCAUCUGUU